GUCUACACCCAUACCAUCCUGAACACAUCCAAUCUCGUCUGAACUCAGAAGCUACGCAGAGUUGGGCCUGGUUAGUCC
rnacentral:rRNA from 1 species